rnacentral:lncRNA from 1 species
CGUGGAUGGCGAGCGCUCCUAUUUCGCUUUGCUCGCCUCGGAAUUCGAGACCCCAGACGAGGACCAGGAUUCAUGAACCGGUCGCAGGGGCCCGGGCAGGGGCCUCUGGCUCCCAACGCUGGCCGAGAGAAUGUCAAACUUGCUGCUGCAUCUGUGCUGUGAGCUGGGAAACUCCAUGGUGAGCUGAGAUGGUCCCCACCCUCCCUGGCUGAACUAAAAUAGUUGCAGCCUUCUCCUCAUGACGGACCCGUGUUCUCCUCUCAACCACCUUAUAUCCUCAAACCUCAGUAGAGUGAAGAGGUUGGGCGCACCUGGCUUGCUAUUCUUCCUACUUCCACUGGCCAUAAAACAACGUGCUCUAUGGAACCCUGGAUUUUUUUAUACCAAUUGUACCAAUCAACUAUUAUCCAAGUCAUCAACUCAAUUGUGACCAUAGCUCCAAAUUCUUGGAUAGGAUUGGAACACCCCUAUUUGCAAUUAAAAAGACUCUAUGGAUCUUGAAAAGCUUGGGCCUUCAGAAGAUACUAGGAACAUAUAGGCAGCUGUUAGGCAGAUGUUAGAGCAGUAUGAGCAACCUGCAGAGAAGCUGGUACAUGCUGAUUUCCUACCACUUCCCCGGGACUUAGGAGCAUUGCACCUUGUGCCUGAAAAUGGUAGAGCUCCUGCACCC